rnacentral:lncRNA from 1 species
UAACUUUUUAUCGCAUUAACGGCAUAUAAAUUCUUAAAACGUUCUCAGACAAAUGGUUGUUUGGAAUAGUGACCGAAGUAUAAUUUUGGGCUCAUAAUGACCAUGGAAUAUCUGCAUGGGUAAAAAUAUUUGCGUGACCCUUAAUCCAAAAUGGUGGACAGCUCGCUGAUUUAUGAUGAUUUUAGUCAAAAUAUUUCGAGAACUUAUAAAAGGUGUAACAAAGUUUUUAAUAUAAUUUUAAAAGCUCUGUCGAAGGAGACAAACUAAAUUGUUAUUGCCGUAUCCCUUUAAUUAAGUAGAAUUUAUAGUUUAUCAUUAACAAAAAUGAGAAAUGGCUUAUUCUCAUGAGUCAUGGUGUUGUCGAGAAAGCGGCGACAGGUUAUGCAGUUCUCAAAGAUUAUAAACUUCUUGGCUAAGAUUACUCAAAGUGUUAAAAAUUUUAACAUAGAUCUUUUAGCCGGUAAUGAAAAUAAUUAUGUGGCUACUGUAAAAUACGAUAAAGAAUAUAAUUCUUUUAGACAGAAUACACUUGUAAUAUUCAAUUUGUCACUGGACAAGCUGAAAAGUUUUCUUGACCGCGGUGAGAAUCGAAUCCGCGACCUUUGCUUUGCUGGUCCAGUGCUCCACCAACUGAGGUCAGGUCGGUUCGAGUCGGUAAGGCUAAAGAAAAAAAUAGGUGGGUUUCUGGUUUCCAGACCCUACCUAUACAGUAUAGCUUUUGGCUACUGAAAUCACCGACCCUAAUAAAGUUAUCUGAAGUUUGCAAAGAGUUUGGAGCAAUUUUUCGUACCCAGUUUGUGGCGCUAAUCUUGUACUAUCUAUAUAAAGUACAAUCUGUUUGUUUCAAAGUUGAUAUAACAUUUAACGAAUGUUUGUACCAUCUGUACUGCCAUAAUUGACAUAGAAUAUAAUUGACAUGACUUGACAUUUGGUGCAUUCUACACGCAUUUUUGGGCUGCUAUGCCUAAACCUGAUAAACCAUGCUGCUGCUAUUUCUUUAAAUAGUACUUCCAACGUUGCUGAAAACUCUCUUAUAUAUUUAAGGCUUUCAGACAAACCAAGUGCUCGUUUAUUUCAUAUCUAUAAAUUGAC